rnacentral:rRNA from 1 species
AUGAAGCUCAUAUGCUGGAAUUGUCGAGGGUUGGGAUCGCCCUCGGCAAUUCGUUCGCUGCUGAAGCUUGUUCGGCAGCAUGGUCCCGACGUUCUCUUCUUGUCCGAGACACAUCUUGAUGGUCCGGGGGAAGAGAGGUUACGUGUGAAACUGGGAUUUGACAAUUUUUUUAUUUCACCAAGCAAUGGAAGAAGUGGUGGUCUGAUUAUGUUCUGUAAGCAACAUGUUAGUCUGAGUUUAAGGUUUGCUCAACCUAAUUUUAUUGAUGUGAUAGUCAAGGGAGCUGAGCCGAGUAUGGAUUGGAGGAUUACAGGAGUCUAUGGUGAACCUGUAUGGAGGAACAAGCACCGAACUUGGUAG